GACGAACGCUGGCGGCGUGCUUAACACAUGCAAGUCGAACGGAAAGGCCUGCUUUCCCUUGUGGAUUGCGGGUACUCGAGUGGCGAACGGGUGAGUAACACGUGAGUGAUCUGCCCCCAACUUGGGUAUAAGCCUGGGAAACUGGGUCUAAUUCCCGAUAGGACUGCAGGGUGGUGCCUGUGGUGGAAAACGAUUUUCUAGUGGUUGGGGAUGAGCUCGCGGCCUAUCAGCUUGUUGGUGGGGUAAUGGCCUACCAAGGCGGCGACGGGUAGCCGGCCUGGGAGGGUGGACGGCCAGAUUGGGACUGGGAUACGGCCCAGACUCCUACGGGAGGCAGCAGUGGGGAAUAUUGCACAAUGGGCGGAAGCCUGAUGCAGCGACGCCGCGUGGGGGAUGACGGCCUUCGGGUUGUAAACUCCUUUCGACCGCGAGGAAGCCACCUGGUUGGAAGGGUGGUGACGGUAGUGGUAGAAGAAGCACCGGCUAACUACGUG
rnacentral:rRNA from 1 species